CAAAAACCCGGUCCUUAGAAAACACAAAACAGCCAUUUUUUUAAAAAAAUUCACAAAACUAUGCCAAUAAAUCAAUAUUUACCAUACGUAAUGCAUCAACAGCCCAACUAGGAUAAUUGGACUUAUCACCAUGGUUCCAUUCAUGGAAAAAGUUUUUGACAAAUGAAGGGAACUCGUCCUUUAUAAUGGACUCCCGCAUAUCUCGCAUAAGUUGGAGCUGGAAAUGGACAUUAUGAAUUGUCAUGAGGUUGGCACCGACGGUUUCCUUCGAGACUAAACUAUUGAAAUAAGCACGAGUAAUUCCCCAUCCACCUUCAAGUUCUGUUUUACAACAAGGGCAGGAACAACCUUCUUCAAGAGGUCCAAUAUCAUUCCUAAACUUUUGGUUCCUUAAGUUUAUUACACCUUUGCGUGUCAAAGCAUUACCGAACCUAGCCGUUCUGGUAGGAUAAACACAGUCAAACAUGUCCAUCCCAAGGGCGACGCAUACUACCAAAUCUUCUGCAUAUCCGACACCCAUUAGAUAUCUUGGCUUGUUAUCGGGAAGUAUAGAAGUACAAGUAUAAACUCUAAAAUAUUGUUAGAUUAGAAAAAGGUAAAAAACCAUCUUACGUCUCGCAGAAAGCGUGUUUUUCUUCACCACCAGAUAAUCCACCAACAGCAAUCCCUGGAGUAUUUCUUUUGACCAUUUCACGACAACAAAUUUCUCGAAGUCGUUUGUCCAAACCACCUUGAAUAAUACAAAACAAGUUUUGGGUUUCCGGGCGCUUAUGCGCUUGUAUACAUCGGUCUAGCCAGCGAAUUGAACGAUACAUAGCUUCUUCCAUUCUCUUGCUUUCAGUCAGUGUAUGAACAACAUCGUCUAAUUGCAUCAUAAUGUCUGAGCCAAUACUGUUUUGUAGAGAAAUAGAAUGCUCAGGCGUAAGGAGCAUUGGAGUACCAUCUCUUGGAGACAAAAACGUAACUCCAUCCUCCGUGAUAGUGGCUAGUUUAAGUAAAGAUACCAUCUGAAAACCACCACUAUCCGUCAAUAUAUUUUUGUUCCAUGACUGAAAGCGAUGCGCACCGCCCACAGUAUCUAAUACCUCUUGACCUGGCUUCAAUCCCAAAUGGUACGUGUUGUUAAGCAUAAUUUUGCAGCCUAAAGCAUCCAAUUGUUCAGGAAGUACACCCUUUAGUGAAGCCUCUAAAUUACAAUUUGUUAAAAGGUCUAUAAUCUUUUAAAAAUCAAAUAACUUACGUGUUCCAACUGGCAUAAAUACAGGGGAUUCUACCAGUCCAUGGGGAAGUUGGAUAUCAGUCACGCGAGCUCUUGUGGUAGAGCAACGAGCUACGACUUUGAAUUGUAAAGCCGGGAAUGAGGAAGCCAUGCCAAAUCUUGAAUUGGCUACACUAGUAUGCUGAGUAGUAAGUAGAUGUUUGGAAAACUUAUUAAGUUGCUAUAGCAACCAAUAGGUAAAUAAAUGUUAACUGUAAACAAACUAACGAUUUAAUGUUGAAAGUAGAAAAUCAGAAAUAGCAAG